AAAAGACCGGGUUGUAAUUUCCUCGUCUUUAUUUCUUAGAUUAAAGCUGUGUUGCUCGUAUAGCAUUAGUAAAGAUAUACAUGUCUCGGAGUGUCAGUAUCA